GAGAGAAAGUUCAAUUCUAGAGAGAGAAAGUAAUGGUUCAAGCUGAAGGGAGAGAGAGAAAAAUUUUCUCUCAUAUUUAUUUAUUUAUCUAUUUAUUUAUUUUUUUCUUUUUUUUUCUUUCCUUCUUCUACUUCUUCCCGUGGCCUCCAUGGGUGAAAAAAAUAUGAAACAAGGGACCGAAUGGUCUCCUCAUAAGGUUGGCCGACCGACGGUCGACCGGCAUGAGAAUGGCC
rnacentral:lncRNA from 1 species